AAGCCAAGUGGUUAGCGCACUUGCCUUUCACCUCUGAGGCUGCAGGUUCGAAUCUCACUAAGUACCUUCUCAGUGCGACUCGAACCCAGUCCGCAUGUGAAAAGAGUAAAAGUCAACGCUCUGCCGAACGCCGUGGGUUUUCCCCGGGUACUCCGGUUUCCUCCCACAGGGAAAAGUCGACAGGGUGGGUUAGGUAAAAAGGGCCCACAGUAAUUGGCAUAUGCUGUUGUGGUGACCCUGCCCUAGUUGGCGAAGCUAAUAAAAAAAAUAAAAAAAAAGAGGCCAGUUGUCAAGUUCUAACCAGAACCUUGUGAAUGUAUAUCCUAGGGUACUGCCAUAUGUAUAGGUGCUUACUGUAUGGGUAAAUAGCUGAG